GGAUGGUUCAAUGGGUCAAUAUGUCUGACUGUUAACCAGAAGGUUGGUGGUCCAAGCCCACCCAGGGACG